GAUGAACGCUAGCUACAGGCUUAACACAUGCAAGUCGAGGGGAAACGACAUCGAAAGCUUGCUUUUGAUGGGCGUCGACCGGCGCACGGGUGAGUAACGCGUAUCCAACCUGCCCACCACUUGGGGAUAACCUUGCGAAAGUAAGACUAAUACCCAAUGAUAUCCCACGAAGGCAUCCGAAUGGGAUUAAAGAUUUAUCGGUGAUGGAUGGGGAUGCGUCUGAUUAGCUUGUUGGCGGGGUAACGGCCCACCAAGGCAACGAUCAGUAGGGGUUCUGAGAGGAAGGUCCCCCCACAUUGGAACUGAGACACGGCCCAGACUCCUACGGGAGGCAGCAGUAGGGAAUAUUGCACAAUGGAGGAAACUCUGAUGCAGCCAUGCCGCGUGUGUGAAGAAGGGCCCUUCGGGGUUGUUAAAAGGCACUUUCGAGGGNGGAAAGAUGACGUUACCUCAGAAGAAGCACCGGCUAACUCCGUGCCAGCAGCCG
rnacentral:rRNA from 1 species